rnacentral:rRNA from 1 species
GGGCCAGACUCCUACGGGAGGCAGCAGUGGGGAAUAUUGCACAAUGGGGGAAACCCUGAUGCAGCGACGCCGCGUGAGCGAUGAAGUAUUUCGGUACGUAAAGCUCUAUCAGCAGGGAAGAAGAUGACGGUACCUGACUAAGAAGCCCCGGCUAACUACGUGCCAGCAGCCGCGGUAAUACGUAGGGGGCAAGCGUUAUCCGGAUUUACUGGGUGUAAAAGGAGCGUAGACGGCGAUGCAAGCCAGAUGUGAAAGCCCGGGGCUCAACCCCGGGACUGCAUUUGGAACUGUGUUGCUAGAUUGCAGGAGAGGUAAGUGGAAUUCCUAGUGUAGCGGUGAAAUGCGAAGAUAUUAGGAGGAACACCAGUGGCGAAGGCGGCUUACUGGACUGUAAAUGACGCUGAGGCUCGAAAGCGUGGGGAGCAAACAGGAUUAGAUACCCCAGUA